UACAGAGGGUGCGAGCGUUAAUCGGAAUUACUGGGCGUAAAGCGUGCGUAGACGGUAGCGUAAGUCAGAUGUGAAAGCCCCGGGCUCGACCUGGGAACUGCAUUUGAGACUGCUCUGCUCGGGUGCGGAAGAGGGAAGCGGAAUUUCCGGUGUAGCGGUGAAAUGCGUAGAUAUCGGAAGGAACACCAGUGGCGAAAGCGGCUUCCUGAUCCGACACCGACGUUCAGGCACGAAAGCGUGGGGAGCAAACAGG
rnacentral:rRNA from 1 species